rnacentral:tRNA from 1 species
GAGGGUGUAGCUCAGGGGUAGAGUGCAUGCCUAACAUAACAUGCAUGAGGUUCUGGGUUCAAUCCCCAGUACCUCCA